AGGAUAAGUUUAAAAUUGAUUGUUGUGAGUGAAAGAUUAUAGGAAAUAACUUUAUGAGUAUGUUUUAGUAUAGGAAUAGAAUAAAUUGAUUAAUUUAUAAUGGAUUAGUAUUGUGAAAGAAGGUUGAAAUAUUGUGAAAAUUUAUUUCGAUGGAAGUAGAUAUUUGUUGUACCUUGUGUAUCAGGGUUUAUUAAAAAUGGAUUAUGGAUUUAUUUAUCCCGAAUUGAGAAGAGCUAGUUUAUUAUGUUAGUUAAUGUAUUAUCAUUAUUAGGGAUAAUAAGUUUGUAAUGAAAUGUUAGGCGUUUUUCAGGAUAUCUGGUUUUCUAAGAAAUGAAUUUAAUUCAGCAAGAAUAUUUAACUUAUAAUUUGGAAUAUAAGUUAUAGUUUAGUUGUAAUAUUUAAAGGGAUAAGCUUUUAAAUAUUAUUUAUAAUUAUUAAGGUUGUAUUAAGAAUUGUAGGCUUUAAAUUAGCUAUCAAUUGAAUAAUGUUAUAAAUUAUUUGAUGUUAAUAUAAUUUUAUAGGGGAUUUAAAUUGUGUAUUAGAAUAAUUUAUAAAAUUUGAAGGUAUGUGUAAUAAUGAUAAAAUUAGUAUAUUAUAAUGUAUAUGGUUUGUUGGAAGUAAAUUUAUAUAAAGGAACUAGGCAAUUUAAUGUUCGCCUGUUUAUCAAAAACAUGUCCUUUUGUGAUUUAUUUAAGGUCGGGCCUGCCCCCUGAUGUUUUAAAGGGCCGCGGUAUUUUGACCGUGCAAAGGUAGCAUAAUCAUUAGUCUUUUAAUUGAGGGCUAGAAUGAAUGGUUUGACGAAACAUUAACUGUCUCUAUAUAAAUAAUGGAAUUUAACUUUUGAGUUAAAAGGCUUAAAUGUGUAUAAAAGACGAGAAGACCCUAUAGAGCUUUAUAUUUGUAUUUAGUUAUUAUGUUUAGUGGUGUUAUUAAUGAUUAAAGGAAAGUAUUUUGUUGGGGUGACAUGAAGAUAAAAGGAACUCUUUUGAGAUGAAACAUAGAUUAAUGAGUAUUUGAUCCAUUAAUAGUGAUUAUAAGAUAAAGUUACCUUAGGGAUAACAGCGUAAUCUUUUUUGAGAGUUCAUAUCGACAAGAAGGAUUGCGACCUCGAUGUUGGAUUAAGGAAUAUGAUUAGGUGCAGAAGUUUAAUUAAUAAGUCUGUUCGACUUUUAAAUCCUUACAUGAUCUGAGUUCAGACCGGCGUAAGCCAGGUCGGUUUCUAUCUUUAUGAAGAUAAAGUAUUUUAGUACGAAAGGACCAGGUACUUAAAAAAUUUUUUAGGAGGAUGUUAAAGAUUAAAC
rnacentral:rRNA from 1 species